GGGUCCGUAGCUCAGCUUGGAUAGAGCGGAACCGUCCUAAGGUUAAGGUCGCGGGUUCAAAUCCCGUCGGACCCG
rnacentral:tRNA from 1 species